rnacentral:rRNA from 1 species
UUGAACGCUGGCGGCAGGCCUAACACAUGCAAGUCGAACGGUAACAGGAAGAAGCUUGCUUCUUUGCUGACGAGUGGCGGACGGGUGAGUAAUGUCUGGGAAACUGCCUGAUGGAGGGGGAUAACUACUGGAAACGGUAGCUAAUACCGCAUAACGUCGCAAGACCAAAGAGGGGGACCUUCGGGCCUCUUGCCAUCGGAUGUGCCCAGAUGGGAUUAGCUAGUAGGUGGGGUAACGGCUCACCUAGGCGACGAUCCCUAGCUGGUCUGAGAGGAUGACCAGCCACACUGGAACUGAGACACGGUCCAGACUCCUACGGGAGGCAGCAGUGGGGAAUAUUGCACAAUGGGCGCAAGCCUGAUGCAGCCAUGCCGCGUGUAUGAAGAAGGCCUUAGGGUUGUAAAGUACUUUCAGCGGGGAGGAAGGGAGUAAAGUUAAUACCUUUGCUCAUUGACGUUACCCGCAGAAGAAGCACCGGCUAACUCCGUGCCAGCAGCCGCGGUAAUACGAAGGGUGCAAGCGUUAAUCGGAAUUACUGGGCGUAAAGCGCACGCAGGCGGUUUGUUAAGUCAGAUGUGAAAUCCCCGGGCUCAACCUGGGAACUGCAUCUGAUACUGGCAAGCUUGAGUCUCGUAGAGGGGGGUAGAAUUCCAGGUGUAGCGGUGAAAUGCGUAGAGAUCUGGAGGAAUACCGGUGGCGAAGGCGGCCCCCUGGACGAAGACUGACGCUCAGGUGCGAAAGCGUGGGGAGCAAACAGGAUUAGAUACCCUGGUAGUCCACGCCGUAAACGAUGUCGACUUGGAGGUUGUGCCCUUGAGGCGUGGCUUCCGGAGCUAACGCGUUAAGUCGACCGCCUGGGGAGUACGGCCGCAAGGUUAAAACUCAAAUGAAUUGACGGGGGCCCGCACAAGCGGUGGAGCAUGUGGUUUAAUUCGAUGCAACGCGAAGAACCUUACCUGGUCUUGACAUCCACAGAACUUUCCAGAGAUGGAUUGGUGCCUUCGGGAACUGUGAGACAGGUGCUGCAUGGCUGUCGUCAGCUCGUGUUGUGAAAUGUUGGGUUAAGUCCCGCAACGAGCGCAACCCUUAUCCUUUGUUGCCAGCGGUCCGGCCGGGAACUCAAAGGAGACUGCCAGUGAUAAACUGGAGGAAGGUGGGGAUGACGUCAAGUCAUCAUGGCCCUUACGACCAGGGCUACACACGUGCUACAAUGGCGCAUACAAAGAGAAGCGACCUCGCGAGAGCAAGCGGACCUCAUAAAGUGCGUCGUAGUCCGGAUUGGAGUCUGCAACUCGACUCCAUGAAGUCGGAAUCGCUAGUAAUCGUGGAUCAGAAUGCCACGGUGAAUACGUUCCCGGGCCUUGUACACACCGCCCGUCACACCAUGGGAGUGGGUUGCAAAAGAAGUAGGUAGCUUAACCUUCGGGAGGGCGCUUACCACUUUGUGAUUCAUGACUGGGGUG